CAAGUCGAGCGAAGCACUUUACUUGGAUUUCUUCGGAAUGACGAGUGUUGUGACUGAGCGGCGGACGGGUGAGUAACGCGUGGGUAACCUGCCUCAUACAGGGGGAUAACAGUUAGAAAUGACUGCUAAUACCGCAUAAGACCACAGCACCGCAUGGUGCAGAGGUAAAAACUCCGGUGGUAUGAGAUGGACCCGCGUCUGAUUAGCUUGUUGGUGGGGUAACGGCCUACCAAGGCGACGAUCAGUAGCCGGCCUGAGAGGGCGACCGGCCACAUUGGGACUGAGACACGGCCCAAACUCCUACGGGAGGCAGCAGUGGGGAAUAUUGCACAAUGGGGGAAACCCUGAUGCAGCGACGCCGCGUGAAGGAAGAAGUAUUUCGGUAUGUAAACUUCUAUCAGCAGGGAAGAAAAUGACGGUACCUGACUAAGAAGCCCCGGCUAACUACGUGCCAGCAGCCGCGGUAAUACGUAGGGGGCAAGCGUUAUCCGGAUUUACUGGGUGUAAAGGGAGCGUAGACGGAGAGGCAAGUCUGAUGUGAAAACCCGGGGCUCAACCCCGGGACUGCAUUGGAAACUGUUUUUCUAGAGUGUCGGAGAGGUAAGCGGAAUUCCUAGUGUAGCGGUGAAAUGCGUAGAUAUUAGGAGGAACACCAGUGGCGAAGGCGGCUUACUGGACGAUGACUGACGUUGAGGCUCGAAAGCGUGGGGAGCAAA
rnacentral:rRNA from 1 species